rnacentral:rRNA from 1 species
UACGGAGGGUGCAAGCGUUGUCCGGAUUUAUUGGGUUUAAAGGGUGCGUAGGCGGCUUUAUAAGUCCGUGGUGAAAGCCAACAGCUCAACUGUUGAACUGCCAUGGAUACUGUAAGGCUUGAGUACAGACGAGGUAGGCGGAAUGGAUGCUGUAGCGGUGAAAUGCAUAGAUAGCAUCCAGAACCCCGAUUGCGUAGGCAGCUUACUAGGCUGUAACUGACGCUGAGGCACGAAAGCGUGGGGAGCGAACAGG